UACGUAGGGUGCAAGCGUUGUCCGGAAUUAUUGGGCGUAAAGAGCUCGUAGGCGGUCUGUCGCGUCUGCUGUGAAAUCCCGGGGCUCAACCCCGGGCUUGCAGUGGAUACGGGCAGACUAGAGUUCGGUAGGGGAGACUGGAAUUCCUGGUGUAGCGGUGAAAUGCGCAGAUAUCAGGAGGAACACCGGUGGCGAAGGCGGCAUCCUGGACCGGUAUUGACGCUGAUGCGCGAAAGCCAGGGGCGCAAACGGG
rnacentral:rRNA from 1 species